UCAAAAAAAUUUGAAAAGUAAUUGGAGAGGAAAAUGAAAAAAGAAAAGAAACAAAUAACGUGAGAGAAACCUAUAAUGCUUAAAUGAAUCACUUUUCUAAAUUCACAACCAGCUACUGUAGACAACCAAGCAAUUUAAAAGAAAAACGUACCUUCUCUCUUGGCACACUUUUCCUCCUCUCUCUCUCUUUUUCUCUCUCUCUGUUGUUCCAAUCGAUUCGAUAUUAUAUCGUCAAUAAAUUAAAUGCAGUAUUAUAAAU
rnacentral:rRNA from 14 species